ACUUUCAGGAACCAGAUAGCUUUUCUGUUUCGGUAAACUCUAGCUCUCGAUAGUUUAACAAAGGGACACAACCAUGUUUGCUACUAGAAUUUUUACCCUGGUUUUUCUUUCAUUGGUUCUGGUGAUAUGCAUGAUGACGGUUCCAGUACAGUCCCAAUAUGGUGUCAAUCCUGCCCUGUGUGGUUUGUGUCCUGCUGGUCAGUUGUGUGAGAUAACCAUCCCUUCCUGCUCACAAUAUUCCCCAGACUGUCUCACCUGCCCUACCAACUGUCCUGUAAUACACAGAUGUGUGGCACCUUUGUAAGAGAUGCAGCAAGAAGACUAGUGUAGCUGUCGACUCAAGAUAAAUCUUCUUGUUCAGAGGGGAAAAUUUACCAAUGCCUAGGCUACACUACGUUAACAAUCACUGAAGUAUAAUCUACUUAAAAAUAAAGUUUAACGCCUUCUGAAA